rnacentral:tRNA from 1 species
GGCGGAAUUGGUAGACGCGUUGGACUUAAAAUCCAAUUCGAUGACAAAUCGAGUGCCGGUUCGAGCCCGGCCGGCGGUA